CCUACGGGAGGCAGCAGUGGGGAAUUUUGAUACAAUGCGCAGCAAGCCUGAUCCAGCCAUUCCGCGUGCAGGAUGAAGGCCCUCGGGUUGUAAACUGCUUUUGUACGGAACGAAAAGGCUCUGGUUAAUACCCGGGGCUCAUGACGGUACCGUAAGAAUAAGCACCGGCUAACUACGUGCCAGCAGCCGCGGUAAU
rnacentral:rRNA from 1 species